rnacentral:rRNA from 1 species
AUUGAACGCUAGCGGGAUGCUUUACACAUGCAAGUCGAACGGCGUGGCGGGCGGGAAAGUAAUCUAUCGGAACGUGCCCAGUAGCGGGGGAUAACUACUCGAAAGAGUCUCUUAUCCCGCAUACUCUUAGAGCCGCCGAUAUCGGUUUCGCUAGUUGGUGGUGUAAAGGCUCCCCAAGGCCACGAUCCGUAGCUGGUUUGAGAGGACGACCAGCCACACUGGGACUGAGACACGGCCCAGACUCCUACGGGAGGCAGCAGUGGGGAAUUUUGGACAAUGGGGGAAACCCUGAUCCAGCCAUCCCGCGUGUAUGAAGAAGGCCUUCGGGUUGUAAAGUACUUUUGGCAGAGAAGCGGUAUCUGCAGAAUAAGCACCGGCUAACUACGUGCCAGCAGCCGCGGUAAUUC